rnacentral:rRNA from 1 species
AGCAGCCGCGGUAAUUCCAGCUCCAAUAGCGUAUAUUAAAGUUGUUGCAGUUAAAAAGCUCGUAGUUGAAUUUCGGGAUCAGUUUGUUGGUCGUGCUUCGGUACGUACUGUCAUUACUGGUUUCUACCUUCUGAAGAACCUUGAUGUCAUUAAUUUGGUGUCUUGGGGAAUCAGGACUGUUACUUUAAAAAAAUUAGAGUGUUUAAAGCAAGCAUACGCUUGAAUACAUUAGCAUGGAAUAAUGAAAUAGGACGUUUGAUUCUAUUUUGUUGGUUUCUAGGAUCGACGUAAUGAUUAAUAGGGAUAGUUGGGGGCAUUAGUAUUCAAUUGUCAGAGGUGAAAUUCUUGGAUUUUAUUGAAGACUAACUACUGCGAAAGCAUUUGCCAAGGAUGUUUUCAUUAAUCAAGAACGAAAGUUAGGGGAUCGAAGACGAUCAGAUACCGUCGUAGUCUUAACCAUAAACUAUGCCGACUAGGGAUCGGAUGAUGUUAUUUUUAAAUGACUCAUUCGGCGCCUUAC